rnacentral:lncRNA from 10 species
AGUUAUAGUCUCUCUUCUGGUUAUCUCUAUGAGCUAGAUCUGGGAAAAUAGCUAAAGUUGAGGUCCCUGGACUGCCAGGGAGGAGGAAGAGAGGAAGGCCAAGUACGUUGAAUCCCAGGCAGGAUAUCAAACACUGGAUUUUGUGCAUACAUACACUGAAUUCUUGGUGGCUAUCUAAGUUAUUUCCCCUCUUGCCUAAUUUUUCCUGUGUCUUUGCUAUUAACUUAAAUUGUGUACGGAUAGGGCAAUGGUGAUUCAACAUACAGUUUACCUUUGAAAUGCAGAUACCUCACUCAGACUUAUAACAUCUGAGGUGCUAGCUUGUAAGUGUAGCUAUUUGUAUAUCAUCUACUUUUUAUACCUAAUAAGAGAAACACCCCCCACCCCAAUCAUUACUCUUCACAUGACCCAUUAAUUUUAAUGUGGUCUUCAUACUCUGUCAGUGGUUAAGAGAAACCAUUGAGUAAAUGAGGGCUCCAUUUUAAUAAAGUCCAGAUAACCCAACUGACCCAGUGCCCCAAAAGGAAGAUGUAUAAUUCUUUGAGGCAAGAUUGACAAUGUAUAUUAACAAUUCUGUACCAAAGAGGAAAUGUGAUAAAGUUUUAAGAGCAGCAGAGGACUUCAGAAGACGGAUUUUGCCCCUCACAAACUUGUUUUACUACUAGCUAGCCUUAUUACUUUAGUCACUUAACCUUUUUGCGUCUUAGUUUCUCACUAAUCCAGUGACUCUUGCCCAUUUUAUAGAUUCAGAUGUUGGAAGCAUGAUACAAUACUUGUUUAUCCCCUAGUGGAUGUUCACUAUAUUAUGCUUUAUUACUUUUAUCAAUGUUGUAUUUUCUUUUGUAAGGAUAUUUCAUUUUUUAAAAAAACCAGGCAAAUAUAAACAAAAACAAAGCAUGAGUUUUUACCAUCAAAUUAAGCUGAACUCUAGACUCAAAGCAAUAAACAAGACAAAAAAAUAACAUAAUCAUAUUUUCUAGUGGACUAGACAUAAAGCUAAAACUUCUAGAGUUAAUAGGUUUUUAAAAUUAUCCUCUGAGUGCAGUGGCUCAUGCCUGUAAUCCCAGAACUUUGGGAGGCUGAGGCAGGAGGAUUGCUUGAGCCCAGGAGUUUGAGACCAGUCUGAGCAACAUAGUGAGACCCUAUCUCUACAAAAUGUUUACAGAUUAGCCAGGUGUGGUGGCAUGUAUCUGUAGCCCCAGCUCCUUGAGAGACUCAGGCAGGAGGAUUGCUUUAUCCCACGAGUUUGAGGCUGCAGUGAGCUAUGAUUGUGCCACUGCACUUCAGCCUAGCUAACAGAGAACCCUAUCUCUAAAAAAAUAAAAUCACCCUCCAUUAUUAUAUUUUUAAUAUACAUCUUUCAGAAUUUGACAGCUGAAGUCGGGGGGAAGAGAUGUUAAUGUAAACAAUAGCAGAAGGCUUCGUUUAGUGGAUAUCUUUGUGUAUAUUAAUAAAAUUAUAACAUUCCUUUUAAGGAAGUCAGAAAGGUAAGGAAACUGUACUUUCUA